rnacentral:rRNA from 1 species
UGCUCCUAGUACGAGAGGACCGGAGUGGACGCAUCACUGGUGUUCGGGUUGUCAUGCCAAUGGCACUGCCCGGUAGCUAAAUGCGGAAGAGAUAAGUGCUGAAAGCAUCUAAGCACGAAACUUGCCCCGAGAUGAGUUCUCCCUGACCCUUUAAGGGUCCUGAAGGAACGUUGAAGACGACGACGUUGAUAGGCCGGGUGUGUAAGCGCAGCGAUGCGUUGAGCUAACCGGUACUAAUGAACCGU